AACCCAUGGUGCGGGCAUUCUCUCUGGUACUCCUUGUACCUCUCCCAAGCUUCAUGGAUAGGUUCAUCGAACUUCUGCUUGAAAUUGGAGAUCCUGUGCCGUAGAGC
rfam:Brassica napus, WGS project CCCW01000000 data, contig: 1945